rnacentral:rRNA from 1 species
GUAUCGGAUACUGGGCGUAAGCGCAUGCAGGCGGUUUGUUAAGUCAGAUGUGAAAGCCCGGGGCCUUUAACGGAACCGCAUUUGAAACUGGCAGGCUAGAGUCUUGUAGAGGGGGGUAGAAUUUCAGGUGUAGCGGUGAAAUGCGUAGAGAUCUGAAGGAAUACCAGUGGCGAAGGCGGCCCCCUGGACAAAGACUGACGCUCAGAUGCGAAAGCGUGGGUAGCAAACAGGAUUAGAUACCCUGGUAGUCCACGCCGUAAACGCUGUCUACUUGGAGGUUGAGGUUUAGACUUUGGCUUUCGGCGCUAACGCAUUAAGUAGACCGCCUGGGGAGUACGGCCGCAAGGUUAAAACUCAAAUGAAUUGACGGGGGCCCGCACAAGCGGUGGAGCAUGUGGUUUAAUUCGAUGCAACGCGAAGAACCUUACCUACUCUUGACAUCCAGAGAACUCUCCAGAGAUGGAUUGGUGCCUUCGGGAGCUCUGAGACAGGUGCUGCAUGGCUGUCGUCAGCUCGUGUUGUGAAAUGUUGGGUUAAGUCCCGCAACGAGCGCAACCCUUAUCCUUGUUUGCCAGCACGUAAUGGUGGGAACUCCAGGGAGACUGCCGGUGAUAAACCGGAGGAAGGUGGGGACGACGUCAAGUCAUCAUGGCCCUUACGAGUAGGGCUACACACGUGCUACAAUGGCAGAUACAGAGGGCAGCGAAGCUGCGAAGUGGAGCGAAUCCCUUAAAGUCUGUCGUAGUCCGGAUUGGAGUCUGCAACUCGACUCCAUGAAGUCGGAAUCGCUAGUAAUCGUGGAUCAGAAUGCCACGGUGAAUACGUUCCCGGGCCUUGUACACACCGCCCAUCACACCAUGGGAGUGGGCUGCACCAGAAGUAGAUAGCUUAACCUCGGAGGGCGUUACCACG